AUCCGGGGCUUAACUCCGGGCGUGCAGGCGAUACGGGCAUAACUUGAGUGCUGUAGGGGAGACUGGAAUUCCUGGUGUAGCGGUGAAAUGCGCAGAUAUNAGGAGGAACACCAAUGGCNAAGGCNGGUCUCUGGGCNGUAACUGACGCUGAGGAGCGAAAGCAUGGGUAGCGAACAGGAUUAGAUACCCUGGGAGUCCAUGCCNUAAACGGUGGGCGCUAGGUGUGGGGGUCUUCCACGACUUCUGUGCCGUAGCUAACGCAUUAAGCGCCCCGCCUGGGGAGNACGGCCGCAAGGCUAAAACUCAAAGGAAUUGACGGGGGCCCGCACAAGCGGCGGAGCAUGNGGAUUAAUUCGAUGCAACGCNAAAAACCUUACCUGGGCUUGACAUAUGCCGGAUCGGCNCAAAGAUUNGUUUUCCCUUGUGGUCGGUAUACAGGUGGUGCAUGGNUGUCGUCANCUCGUGUCNNGAGAUGUUGGGUUAAGUCCCGCAACGAGCGCAACCCUUGUCUUGUGNUGCCNNNACGCUAUGGUGGGGACUCGCGAGNNANUGCCAGGGUUAANUNNGAGGAAGGGGGGAUGACGUCAAANCAUCUUGCCCCNUAUGUCCNGGACUUCNCACNUGCUACAAGGGUCNGUACACCGGGCUCGCUAAACCCUAGAGGUGGUGCUAAUCAC
rnacentral:rRNA from 1 species